UAACCCCUUUGACUUUGGGGGUUUAUAAAUGCUAAUACUUUUUUAAUACAUGCUAGUUACAUGCACACAGGUGAGUAAAUCUGAAUUCACAGAAAGUUACCAGGAUAUUAAUUUAUUAGAUAAUUAAUACCUAAGACAACAAGAAGAUUCCACAUUUCUACUGAAACAAGGAGAAAUAAUCUACAGCAGUAUAGAAUAUUGUAUAAUUAGUUAUAACUAGAUACAGAAAAGUAUAAAGAACUGUCUAAUCAAGUGCCAGCAGACGCGGUUACACCUGAAGUUCAAGUUUUAUAAAUAAAAAAGGCUUAAAGAGUGUGUAAAUAAUAGUAAAGUAAAAGAAAGAAUUUAUAUAUAGAGAUUAAAUUCAAGGAAAUAAUAUAGAAUUCCACAAAUCUUUUCAUUCUUAGAAACAUUAAAUAAUAGAAAGCCAAUGGGAUUAGAUACCCCAGUAACCUAUUACCUAAAUUUAGAAUAAUUUAUAAAAUAUAUUUCCGCCUGAGUAUUAUAAUCGACUGAUCGAAAUUCAAAAAGUUUGGCUGUUCAUUUUCCACUUAGAGGAUUGUGUCACUUAAUUUGAUAGUCCGCAUAAAACCUUACCUUAUUUUGAUUUUUCAAGCGUUGCAUGGCCGUCUUCAGUUUGUAUUUGUAAUUAACAAACUAAACCUUCUAAGCUGAAGUCAGGUAUUAUGACCUUAAUAAUAAGGGGUAGAUGCAAUACAUUUUCAAAUAUAAAUAAAAAUUUGAAGCCAAUUGAAUCUGAAAAUUUCAUGAAGUAGAAUUUAAUAGUAAUCAAAGACAACAAGGCUUUGGUGAAUAGGUUCAAAUGUUAGUACAAAUUGCCCGUCACCUUUCAUAACUAAUAUAAAUUAAUAGAAAUGAAAGCAAGUCGUAACAUAGUGAGGGAAAGGGAACUUUUCCUUGAAUUUAU
rnacentral:rRNA from 1 species